rnacentral:rRNA from 1 species
UACGUAGGGUGCAAGCGUUGUCCGGAAUUAUUGGGCGUAAAGAGCUCGUAGGCGGUUUGUCGCGUCUGCUGUGAAAACCCGAGGCUCAACCUCGGGCCUGCAGUGGGUACGGGCAGACUAGAGUGCGGUAGGGGAGAUUGGAAUUCCUGGUGUAGCGGUGGAAUGCGCAGAUAUCAGGAGGAACACCGAUGGCGAAGGCAGAGUCUCUGG